rnacentral:rRNA from 1 species
GCAGCAGUGGGGAAUAUUGCACAAUGGGGGAAACCCUGAUGCAGCCAUGCCGCGUGUGUGAAGAAGGCCUUCGGGUUGUAAAGCACUUUCAGCGAGGAGGAAAGGUUGGCGCCUAAUACGUGUCAACUGUGACGUUACUCGCAGAAGAAGCACCGGCUAACUCCGUGCCAGCAGCCGCGGUAAUACGGAGGGUGCAAGCGUUAAUCGGAAUUACUGGGCGUAAAGCGCACGCAGGCGGUUGGAUAAGUUAGAUGUGAAAGCCCCGGGCUCAACCUGGGAAUUGCAUUUAAAACUGUCCAGCUAGAGUCUUGUAGAGGGGGGUAGAAUUCCAGGUGUAGCGGUGAAAUGCGUAGAGAUCUGGAGGAAUACCGGUGGCGAAGGCGGCCCCCUGGACAAA